rnacentral:rRNA from 1 species
AUGGAGCCGACCUUGAAAUACCACCCUUUAAUGUUUGAUGUUCUAACGUUGACCCGUAAUCCGGGUUGCGGACAGUGUCUGGUGGGUAGUUUGACUGGGGCGGUCUCCUCCUAAAGAGUAACGGAGGAGCACGAAGGUUGGCUAAUCCUGGUCGGACAUCAGGAGGUUAGUGCAAUGGCAUAAGCCAGCUUGACUGCGAGCGUGACGGCGCGAGCAGGUGCGAAAGCAGGUCAUAGUGAUCCGGUGGUUCUGAAUGGAAGGGCCAUCGCUCAACGGAUAAAAGGUACUCCGGGGAUAACAGGCUGAUACCGCCCAAGAGUUCAUAUCGACGGCGGUGUUUGGCACCUCGAUGUCGGCUCAUCACAUCCUGGGGCUGAAGUAGGUCCCAAGGGUAUGGCUGUUCGCCAUUUAAAGUGGUACGCGAGCUGGGUUUAGAACGUCGUGAGACAGUUCGGUCCCUAUCUGCCGUGGGCGCUGGAGAACUGAGGGGGGCUGCUCCUAGUACGAGAGGACCGGAGUGGACGCAUCACUGGUGUUCGGGUUGUCAUGCCAAUGGCACUGCCCGGUAGCUAAAUGCGGAAGAGAUAAGUGCUGAAAGCAUCUAAGCACGAAACUUGCCCCGAGAUGAGUUCUCCCUGACUCCUUGAGAGUCCUGAAGGAACGUUGAAGACGACGACGUUGAUAGGCCGGGUGU